rnacentral:lncRNA from 1 species
ACCAAGGCAAGCCAUUGCCUUGCACAGUGUCCUGAUGCCUCCCUGCUCCACAGAAAUCUCUCAGCACACUGUGCAAGAUUUCUCUGGUAUCUUGGUAUCUGCAGCCACUAGCUUGUUUCUGUUUAUCAAAUCCUUUCCUCCCCUCUGGGAGCAAUAGACCAGAGGUCAAGUUUUCCCAGCAAAAAUUCUAAUUGCUCCCUAAGAGCAGGGCUGUCUGCUGUUCUCUUUCAGCCCUGUUGCAUUACUGAGGUGCUCUUUAAUAUCAUGCUUGUGAUAUUCGGGUUCUCUUCUAAAUGAGGGCUCAUUGUCAUCACCAGAUGUCACUGCCUGGCUUCUCUUUCUGUCUGGGUCAUCAGCUAAAGUGGUUUAAUUGUUUCCAUUCCAGUAGAAUUCUAUGAUUUCCAUUGUUUCUGCUUUCUCCUCAUUUGUUAGAUCCUGUCCUGUCAGCAUGACCAUGGCAUGGAAUUCUGGCUUCUGUGCAGAUUCCUCUCAGGGGCUCACAUCACUGAAGUUACUUUAGCACAGAAUGUUACACAAGGACAGAUGCUGGGCAAUCUCAACUUUUUCAUCAGUUUGUGGUCCAGUUCACAGCUUUGUUGUGGCCCAAGAUGUCACACGUCAUCUCCUCUUGCCACUGGCACAUGCAAGGCAGCCUUCUCCUCUGCCAUGGUGGUUAAGCUCCCCUGAAUUGCACAGUAUUUUUUGCACAAUAAGAACACACACAGACUAUUACUGUGACUCCUCAUGGUGAGUUGUUUCAGUGCUUAAAGCCUGUGGCUGGAUAUGGAAGAUUUCCAACACCACCAGUUACUCACAAACUGCACACAAACAGAUCCCUUACAUUAUGGUUUUGGAAAUACUUCCCCCUUGGGCUUCUUCAUUAUCAGUCCAAGACUGCAACAAUACAGGCCUAUAUCUGAGUUAUGAAUGCCAGCCUCUGUCUGCUGCUGUGCAGCCACUCAGCCUUGCCGGAGCUCCUUCCAUGGGUUUAAUCCCAAAAUGAGUUUUGAGGAAUGCUGCCAAACUUUCACAGCAGCACCAAAGUCGGUGAACUGCCCUUCCCUCCCUACUCUUGUAGCUUUUUAUUAUUUUUAUUUGUCGUGUGUUUUUUCUUCUGUUGAAUAAUUCAGCUAAUGGGCUGGCACUGGAGCGCCUGAGAGCUGCUCCCUAAUGAGGGAAGCAGCUUGCCAGCUUUUUAUCUUUCCAGUCCUUUGACUGCAAACCCAACAUUAUUAACAAAUCACCAUGGAAGAGCCGUGGUAAUACAGAACAAAAUGUUGUUGUCUUAACUUAAGCGGGCGAGCAAGAAAAGAUAAACAAAAUAAAAGAAAGCCAAGCCCUGCCUGGAAGAACA